rnacentral:rRNA from 1 species
UACGUAGGGUGCGAGCGUUGUCCGGAAUUAUUGGGCGUAAAGAGCUCGUAGGCGGUUUGUCACGUCUGCUGUGAAAGCCCGGGGCUUAACCCCGGGUCUGCAUUCGAUACGGGCAGGCUAGAGUGUGGUAGGGGAGAUCGGAAUUCCUGGUGUAGCGGUGAAAUGCGCAGAUAUCAGGAGGAACACCGGUGGCGAAGGCGGAUCUCUGGGCCAUUACUGACGCUGAGGAGCGAAAGCGUGGGGAGCGAACAGG